AUUGAACGCUGGCGGCAGGCCUAACACAUGCAAGUCGAGCGAGCGGCGGACGGGUGAGAACUGUCUGGGAAACUGCCUGAUGGAGGGGGAUAACUACUGGAAACGGUAGCUCAUACCGCGUACUCUCAGAUGUGCCCAGAUGGGAUUGGCUAGUGGGUGGGGUAACGGCUCACCUAGGCGACGAUCCCUAGCUGGUCUGAGAGGAGGACCAGCCACACUGGAACGGAGACACGGUCCAGACUCCGACGGGAGGCAGCAGUGGGGAAUAUUGCACAAUGGGCGCAAGCCUGAUGCAGCCAUGCCGCGUGUGUGAAGAAGGCCUUCGGGUUGUAAAGCACUUUCAGCGGGGAGGCGUUACCCGCAGAAGAAGCACCGGCUAACUCCGUGCCAGCCGCCGCGGUAAUAC
rnacentral:rRNA from 1 species